rnacentral:rRNA from 2 species
UUGGUGCUUGCAUCAUGAUUUACAUUUGAGUGAGUGGCGAACUGGUGAGUAACACGUGGGAAACCUGCCCAGAAGCGGGGGAUAACACCUGGAAACAGAUGCUAAUACCGCAUAACAACUUGGACCGCAUGGUCCGAGCUUGAAAGAUGGCUUCGGCUAUCACUUUUGGAUGGUCCCGCGGCGUAUUAGCUAGAUGGUGGGGUAACGGCUCACCAUGGCAAUGAUACGUAGCCGACCUGAGAGGGUAAUCGGCCACAUUGGGACUGAGACACGGCCCAAACUCCUACGGGAGGCAGCAGUAGGGAAUCUUCCACAAUGGACGAAAGUCUGAUGGAGCAACGCCGCGUGAGUGAAGAAGGGUUUCGGCUCGUAAAACUCUGUUGUUAAAGAAGAACAUAUCUGAGAGUAACUGUUCAGGUAUUGACGGUAUUUAACCAGAAAGCCACGGCUAACUACGUGCCAGCAGCCGCGGUAAUACGUAGGUGGCAAGCGUUGUCCGGAUUUAUUGGGCGUAAAGCGAGCGCAGGCGGUUUUUUAAGUCUGAUGUGAAAGCCUUCGGCUCAACCGAAGAAGUGCAUCGGAAACUGGGAAACUUGAGUGCAGAAGAGGACAGUGGAACUCCAUGUGUAGCGGUGAAAUGCGUAGAUAUAUGGAAGAACACCAGUGGCGAAGGCGGCUGUCUGGUCUGUAACUGACGCUGAGGCUCGAAAGUAUGGGUAGCAAACAGGAUUAGAUACCCUGGUAGUCCAUACCGUAAACGAUGAAUGCUAAGUGUUGGAGGGUUUCCGCCCUUCAGUGCUGCAGCUAACGCAUUAAGCAUUCCGCCUGGGGAGUACGGCCGCAAGGCUGAAACUCAAAGGAAUUGACGGGGGCCCGCACAAGCGGUGGAGCAUGUGGUUUAAUUCGAAGCUACGCGAAGAACCUUACCAGGUCUUGACAUACUAUGCAAAUCUAAGAGAUUAGACGUUCCCUUCGGGGACAUGGAUACAGGUGGUGCAUGGUUGUCGUCAGCUCGUGUCGUGAGAUGUUGGGUUAAGUCCCGCAACGAGCGCAACCCUUAUUAUCAGUUGCCAGCAUUAAGUUGGGCACUCUGGUGAGACUGCCGGUGACAAACCGGAGGAAGGUGGGGAUGACGUCAAAUCAUCAUGCCCCUUAUGACCUGGGCUACACACGUGCUACAAUGGAUGGUACAACGAGUUGCGAACUCGCGAGAGUAAGCUAAUCUCUUAAAGCCAUUCUCAGUUCGGAUUGUAGGCUGCAACUCGCCUACAUGAAGUCGGAAUCGCUAGUAAUCGCGGAUCAGCAUGCCGCGGUGAAUACGUUCCCGGGCCUUGUACACACCGCCCGUCACACCAUGAGAGUUUGUAACACCCAAAGUCGGUGGGGUAACCUUUUAGGAACCAGCC